UACGUAGGGUGCAAGCGUUGUCCGGAAUUACUGGGCGUAAAGGGCGCGUAGGCGGCCUGUUAAGUCGAACGUGAAAUCCCUCGGCUCAACCAAGGAAGUGCAUCCGAAACUGCAGAGCUUGAGUACCAAAGAGGAUCGCGGAAUUCCCGGUGUAGAGGUGAAAUUCGUAGAUAUCGGGAGGAACACCAGUGGCGAAGGCGGCGAUCUGGGUGGAUACUGACGCUGAGGUGCGAAAGCGUGGGGAGCAAACAGG
rnacentral:rRNA from 1 species